AGUGAACGCUGGCGGUAGGCCUAACACAUGCAAGUCGAACGGCAGCACAGUAAGAUCUUGCUCUUACCGGUGGCGAGUGGCGGACGGGUGAGGAAUACAUCGGAAUCUACUUUUUCGUGGGGGAUAACGUAGGGAAACUUACGCUAAUACCGCAUAUGACCUACGGGUGAAAGCAGUGGAUCUUCGGACCUUUCGCGAUUGAAUGAGCCGAUGUCGGAUUAGCUAGUUGGCGGGGUAAAGGCCCACCAAGGCGACGAUCCGUAGCUGGUCUGAGAGGAUGAUCGGCCACACUGGAACUGAGACACGGUCCAGACUCCUACGGGAGGCAGCAGUGGGGAAUAUUGGACAAUGGGCGCAAGCCUGAUCCAGCCAUACCGCGUGGGUGAAGAAGGCCUUCGGGUUGUAAAGCCCUUUUGUUGGGAAAGAAAAGCAGCAGGUUAAUACCCCGCUGUUCUGACGGUACCCAAAGAAUAAGCACCGGCUAACUUCGUG
rnacentral:rRNA from 1 species